GACGAACGCUGGCGGCGUGCCUAAUACAUGCAAGUUGAGCGCUGAAGGUUGGUACUUGUACCAACUGGAUGAGCAGCGAACGGGUGAGUAACGCGUGGGGAAUCUGCCUUUGAGCGGGGGACAACAUUUGGAAACGAAUGCUAAUACCGCAUAAAAACUUUAAACACAAGUUUUAAGUUUGAAAGAUGCAAUUGCAUCACUCAAAGAUGAUCCCGCGUUUUAUUAGCUAGUUGGUGAGGUAAAGGCUCACCAAGGCGAUGAUACAUAGCCGACCUGAGAGGGUGAUCGGCCACAUUGGGACUGGGACACGGCCCAAAAUCCUACGGGAGGCAGCAGUAGGGAAUCUUCGGCAAUGGACGAAAGUCUGACCGAGCAACGCCGCGUGGGUGAAGAAGGUUUUCGGAUCGUAAAACUCUGUUGGUAGAGAAGAACGUUGGUGAGAGUGGAAAGCUCAUCAAGUGACGGUAACUACCCAGAAAGGGACGGCUAACUACGUG
rnacentral:rRNA from 1 species